AGUGAGAGGGAAGAGCCCAAGAUUGAAAGCUGGCGCCUUCGGCGUCCGCAUUGUAAUCUCAAGAAGUGUUUUCCGCUUCGGACCAUGCCUAAGUCCCUUGGAAAAGGGCAUCAUAGAGGGUGAUAAUCCCGUACAUGGCAUGGAGCGCCCGAAGCUUUGUGAUACGCUUUCUAAGAGUCGAGUUGUUUGGGAAUGCAGCUCAAAAUGGGUGGUAAAUGCCAUCUAAGGCUAAAUAUUGGGGAGAGACCGAUAGCGAACAAGUACAGUGAUGGAAAGAUGAAAAGAACUUUGAAAAGAGAGUUAAACAGUACGUGAAAUUGCCAAAAGGGAAGGGUAGGAGGUCAGAGAUGCGUCGCAGGAUUCAGCCUUGCUUUUGCUUGGUGUUUUUCCUGCGUUGCAGGCCAACGUCGGUUUUGGGCACUGGAGAAGGGUAGGAGGAACGUGGCACCUCUCGGGGUGUGUUAUAGCCUCCUACUGGAUACAGCGACCGAGACCGAGGAACGCAGCGUACUCGUAAGAGCGGGCCUUUUGGCACCUUUACGCUUAGGGCGUUGGCAUAAUGGCCCUCUACCACCCGUCUUGAAACACGGACC
rnacentral:rRNA from 1 species